rnacentral:rRNA from 1 species
UGGCGGACGGGUGAGUAACGCGUGAGCAACCUACCUUCUGAUGGGGGAUAACGUCUGGAAACGGACGCUAAUACCGCAUAAACCGAUGUUAUCGCAUGGUGAUAUCGGCAAAGAGAUAUCGUCAGGAGAUGGGCUCGCGUUGGAUUAGAUAGUUGGCGGGGUAACGGCCCACCAAGUCAACGAUCCAUAGCCGGACUGAGAGGUCGGACGGCCACAUUGGAACUGAGAUACGGUCCAGACUCCUACGGGAGGCAGCAGUGGGGAAUAUUGGGCAAUGGGCGAAAGCCUGACCCAGCGACGCCGCGUGAAGGAAGAAGGUCUUCGGAUUGUAAACUUCAGUAGGCAGGGACGAAGAAAGUGACGGUACCUGCAGAGUAAGCCACGGCUAACUACGUGCCAGCAGCCGCGGUAAUACGUAGGUGGCGAGCGUUAUCCGGAUUUACUGGGUGUA